GGGCUGGUGGCGCAGCUCGGAAGCGCACCUCCUUGGCAACAGCAGCCAAAAUGGAGGGGGCCGGGGGUUCAAAUCCCCCCCAGUCCA
rfam:Thermoplasmatales archaeon DG-70 WOR1_52_54_1311, whole genome shotgun sequence.